rnacentral:rRNA from 1 species
UACGGAGGGUGCAAGCGUUAUCCGGAUUCACUGGGUUUAAAGGGUGCGUAGGUGGGUUGGUAAGUCCGUGGUGAAAUCUCCGAGCUUAACUCGGAAACUGCCGUGGAUACUAUCAAUCUUGAAUACUGUGGAGGUAAGCGGAAUAUGUCAUGUAGCGGUGAAAUGCUUAGAUAUGACAUAGAACACCGAUAGCGAAGGCAGCUUGCUACACAGGCAUUGACACUGAGGCACGAAAGCGUGGGGAGCAAACAGG